GGGGCAUCAUGGAUUCCGUUGGACAAGGAUCAUUGUCGUGACCCUGACCAAAAUCAUGUUGCCCCCGUUCGCGGUGUGCUCAUGGGAUGUGGCUUCUUUAUAAUCACAAACGACUCUCGGCAACGGAUAUCUCGGCUCACGCAUCGAUGAAGAACGUAGCAAAAUGCGAUACUUGGUGUGAAUUGCAGAAUCCCGUGAACCAUCGAGUUUUUGAACGCAAGUUGCGCCCGAAGCCUUUUGGCCGAGGGCACGUCUGCCUGGGCGUCACGCAUCGCGUCGCCCCCCACAACUCUCCGUAAAGGGAGCUCGUGUUUUGGGGGCGGAUAUUGGUCUCCCGUGCUCAUGGCGUGGUUGGCCGAAAUAGGAGUCCCUUCGAUGGACGCACGAACUAGUGGUGGUCGUAAAAACCCUCGUCUUUUGUUUCGUGCUGUUAGUCGCAAGGGAAACUCUAAGAAAACCCCAACGUGUCGUCUUUUGACGGCGCUUCGACCGCGACCCCAGGUCAGGCGGGACUACCCGCUGAG
rnacentral:rRNA from 1 species